UUGGGGCUUAGAAGACACAGAUGGUCCUAGGACAAACCUAGAUGCAACAUAUUAUUAGGAAACUGAGAUCUAGUUAGUGCAAGCCCUAAAUGAUCAGCAAUCCUGCGGCUCUUCUAUGACACUGAUGGAAAGGUGGCUUCAUCAACAUUCCCUUUGGGUCCCAGAUGCCUGGACUGGGAUUUGACACAUAAAAUAUGUUUCUAUAUAAGAAAGAAAAGGGGAGAAAAUCAACAGGAUAAAAGAACAAAAGAAGCUCCCAUAGCAGGACAGGAUCUUUGCCAGCACAUUUAAGAAUCUACAUUGUGCCAAGUGCCAGACAGAAAGGGACUGGGUAGUAAAUAGAAGGAAUAGGAGGAAGAAGCAGGAGUCACACGAUGCCUUCUGCGUGAACAACAAGGUGUCAGGAAAUCCAAGUGCUGAUUUUUUUGCUUCACUUAGUAAGAAGACAGUUAGGCCCAAAAGGUUAUCUAACUACAGUAGAGCCCAACCUGGGUGAGCACAGUGCUGGUGGGCGAUCCUGCCAUGCUGGCUAGAUGAUUCCUUGUGGUCAGAGGGGACCAUGGCAAACAGCAGGUAGAAGCUCAACGUGUUAGUACCAAUGAAGGAAGCAAAAAGGUUCUGAUUACCAGCGCUAGAAUGCAUACAUAACACUAGUGCAUUCACACUAUAAGAAUCAGUUCAUGUGAUUGAGCCCGAGAAGUCUCAGUCUGGAGAAGCAGCGAGUAACUGCUGUAAUUCAGGCUGGUUUUGAUAAAAUAUCUGAGUAUCAGAGGUUGAUGGUACCAGUUUGUCUAUGAAUUUGAAUCAAUGAAUCCAUAUAACGGUCUUCCUGGCCAGAAGAUGAAAGAGACUCCAGCCCCACAGUGAAUUCAUUUUUCCUUGGCUUGAGAACUGUCUGGAACUGGAUAUAUUCAAGGGUUGACACCUACACUGGAAGCUGUGUAGCUGAUGCUAGAGAAAACAAAACAGAGCAGAAAGGAUGAAGAGACAAACAACAAGGGCUUGUUUGUAAGACAGUGU